rnacentral:rRNA from 1 species
AGUACCUACGGGGGGCAGCAGUAGGGAAUAUUGCACAAUGGGGGGAACCCUGAUGCAGCGACGCCGCGUGAGUGAAGAAGUAUUUCGGUAUGUAAAGCUCUAUCAGCAGGGAAGAAGAUGACGGUACCUGACUAAGAAGCCCCGGCUAACUACGUGCCAGCAGCCGCGGUAAUACGUAGGGGGCAAGCGUUAUCCGGAUUUACUGGGUGUAAAGGGAGCGUAGACGGCAGGGCAAGUCUGGAGUGAAAGCCCGGGGCCCAACCCCGUGCCUGCUUUGGAAACUGCCAUGCUG